GUGAAGGGUGUCCUUUUCGUUCCCAGAUAGAAUGCCAGUAAUAGAACGCAUUAACAGCAUAGUUAUAAAUGCUACACACAGCAUAUUAUCUGGGAACGAAAAGGACACCCUUCACCUUAUUGGCAGCUAACGAAGAGGUGGCAGAUUUCAAGUUGUUACGCUAAAUGGGCACGGACAUGGUGGAAUGGGAAUUUCAACAACUCCUUCAAGCAUUUGUAUAACUUGCUUCAUCACCGGUCGCAGAGAUGGAUCUUCUUGAACGCACCAGAUGGCAACCAUCACAAACCUCUGUAGAUUCUCUCUGUCAUCCAAGGCGUCGGUGUCUUGUCCAACCAGAGUAUCUAAACUCCCUUCACAAUAACAGUCAUAAGCCCAGUCAGUUAAAAUUGCAUUCUCUGUAUUGGUUCCUUCGAUAUCCAUUUCCACACUUCUUCUGCAACAAAUGAUCUCUAGCAGCAGGACUCCGAAGCUGUACACAUCCACUUUCACUGUGAUGGGCAAGUUCCUAAACCAAUCCGGUGCAACGUACCCUUUUGUUCCUCUAAUGGCAGUAAGGGUAUAGCUCUGAUCCAACGACAAAAGCUUUGCCAAUCCGAAGUCACAAAUCCUUGCAUUGUAACAGUCGUCCAGAAGUAUAUUCUGGGGCUUUAUAUCACAGUGGAUAACCUGAGUGUUACAUUCUUCAUGCAAGUAUAGUAGCCCUCUAGCAAUUCCAAAAGCAAUUUGGAUUCUUUUGUUCCAACCGGGUUUCUUGUCGCCAAAAAGAAAGGUCGAUAAAGUUCCAUUGCUCAGGAACUCGUAUACUAGUAAUCGAUGCUCUCCAUCAUCACAAAACCCCAGCAGUCGAACCAGAUUUUUAUGAUGGGUCUGACCGAUCACAUUUAACUCAGUUCUGAAUUCCUUCAUAGCAUCUCUUGUCAAAGUGUCUAACCUCUUUACUGCAACAGGGAUGCUACACCCCACAUUUAUUACUCCUUUGUAUACGAUGCCAAAAGCUCCUCUCCCCAGCUCUUCCUUAAAUCCAUCUGUAGCUUCUUCGAGCUCUUUGAAACCAAAACACCGCAAAUUUGUUUCUACAAAACUAUCCUGCUGCGGAAUUCUUUUGAGUUUCUUUUGACGGAUGAGGAAACAACCCAAACAAAUUGCACUAACCAAUAACAAGUUAGCGAACAUGGAGCAACCCAAAAGUACGGCUCCAACUACUACCCGAUCGUCUCUGUUUUUCUUUUCUUUCUCCAAGAUUUCUGGUCUAAUUCUCGGGACAUCACCUCUCCUAACUUUGAUAAGUGCCUUUCCGUCAAGAUUGGGAUCCACCCUUCCAUUUGAGAGUGGCAGCUUCUUCUUCCAACACAUAUUGCCUGAUCUGAAAAUAGCAACAGCGCACAUACAAUCCUGUAAACAGGAUUGCCUACAGCCAUCUUCAGUAAAAGGCUGCAAGAGGGCAUAAUCCGACGUUGGCCAAUCAGUAUUUAGAAGCACUUCAAAACCAUAUAAAUCUUCCACCGGACCCAUCUCACUUUCUUCACAUCUCUGUGUGAAGUUUGCUUUGCAACCGCCAUACUGAUCAUUUGGAUCAAAUAAAGAAUAUCCGCUCGGGCAUUCACAGGUCGGUCUCUGAUCUUGGACCAGUGUGCAGACACUAUUGAACCCACAGACGCCACUACCAGCGGUUACC
rnacentral:misc_RNA from 1 species